rnacentral:rRNA from 1 species
AGAGUUUGAUCCUGGCUCAGAUUGAACGCUGGCGGUAUGCUUAACACAUGCAAGUCGAACGGAAACGAUACUAGCUUGCUAGUAGGCGUCGAGUGGCGGACGGGUGAGUAACGCGUAGGAAUCUACCAGAUAGUGGGGGAUAGCCCGGAGAAAUUCGGAUUAAUACCGCAUAAUCUCUACGGAGUAAAGGAGGCCUCUAUUUAUAUGCUUUCGCUAUCUGAUGAGCCUGCGUAAGAUUAGCUAGUUGGUGAGGUAAAAGCUCACCAAGGCGACGAUCUUUAGCUGGUCUGAGAGGAUGAUCAGCCACACUGGGACUGAGACACGGCCCAGACUCCUACGGGAGGCAGCAGUGGGGAAUAUUGGACAAUGGGGGCAACCCUGAUCCAGCAAUACCGCGUGUGUGAAGAAGGCCUGAGGGUUGUAAAGCACUUUCAAUUGUGAAGAAAAGUUAAUAGUUAAUAACUAUUAGGCAUGACGGUAACUUUAGAAGAAGC